rnacentral:rRNA from 1 species
UACGGAGGGGGCGAGCGUUAUUCGGAAUUAUUGGGCGUAAAGGGCGCGUAGGCGGCUGUACAAGUCAAAGGUGAAAUCCCUCGGCUCAACUGAGGAACUGCCUUUGAAACUGUACGGCUUGAGGCCGGGAGGGGGUAGCGGAAUUCCCAAUGUAGCGGUGAAAUGCGUAGAUAUUGGGAGGAACACCAGUGGCGAAGGCGGCAUCCUGGACCGGUAUUGACGCUGAGGCGCGAAAGCCAGGGGAGCAAACGGG